GAUGAACGCUGGCGGCGUGCCUAAUACAUGCAAGUCGAGCGAACAGACGAGAAGCUUGCUCCUCUGACGUUAGCGGCGGACGGGUGAGUAACACGUGGAUAACCUACCUAUAAGACUGGGAUAACUUCGGGAAACCGGAGCUAAUACCGGAUAACAUGUUGAACCGCAUGGUUCAACAGUGAAAGACGGUUUUGCUGUCACUUAUAGAUGGAUCCGCGCCGCAUUAGCUAGUUGGUAAGGUAACGGCUUACCAAGGCAACGAUGCGUAGCCGACCUGAGAGGGUGAUCGGCCACACUGGAACUGAGACACGGUCCAGACUCCUACGGGAGGCAGCAGUAGGGAAUCUUCCGCAAUGGGCGAAAGCCUGACGGAGCAACGCCGCGUGAGUGAAGAAGGUCUUCGGAUCGUAAAACUCUGUUAUUAGGGAAGAACAAAUGUGUAAGUAACUAUGCACGUCUUGACGGUACCUAAUCAGAAAGCCACGGCUAACUACGUG
rnacentral:rRNA from 1 species